GGGAGAAGUUCACUGAAUUAAAUUGAAAAUCUUCUAGAAAGAAUUUACCAUUCUGGAUGUCAUUAAGAACAAUCACGAUUCAUGGGAGGAG